rnacentral:tRNA from 1 species
GGCGUCGUAGCUCAGUUGGUAGAGCAGAGGACUGAAAAUCCUUGUGUCACUGGUUCGAUUCCAGUCGAUGCCACAA